rnacentral:lncRNA from 1 species
AUGAGGCAGCUGAUAAUAUCGUUAUUUCUGGCCAUCUCAAACAGAAAUCUACAUUGGCAAUCAAACUCAACCUGUUUCUUAGGCUAUGCUGCCUACAUUGGAUACAUCUGCCCUAAUCAACCUCUGGAUCUUAUUCUCUGCUCCUCAAACACAUCGCAGAGAAGAAUAUACACACAGAAGGUGAUGGGAGCAAAUUGA